UUGGGUCGGUUCGGGUUCGGAUGAGAAGGAAUUUAAUGGAAGUUUUCUCCUUGAUCCAUACUAAACGGGUUAUUGGAAGUGAAUGAGAAAUAGUUGUGUUUAUUUGACUAGAAUGAAUUGGAAUGAAAUAAGAACAUUUGGUAAGAUAUCUUGUAAAUCCGAGAAUAUGUAUUGUGAUAGGAUGAAAACGUUAUGUGUACCACACUAAUAUAUUUUGUUGAAUGAUUGUAGGUAAAGCACCCGUAUGAUUGUCAUUGCGUCGCUCGGAUACGAACACACCUUGAUCACCCGUGAUGCGCUUCCGCAACUUUUGUAGUAACCUUAUUAGUUAAAGGCUUUUGUUAAAGUUAGUAGUGUUGAAGUUUUAAGUUUUAACUAGAUGUUUUUUAAAUGUUAAGAUCUUCCUUAUGUUUUU
rnacentral:lncRNA from 1 species